AAUCAACGCUGGCGGCGUGCCUAACACAUGCAAGUCGAACGCGAAAGGGGCUUCGGCCCUGAGUAGAGUGGCAAACGGGUGAGUAACACGUGGGUGACCUACCUUCGAAUGGGGGAUAACGUCCCGAAAGGGACGCUAAUACCGCAUAACAUCCUGCCUUUGAACAGGUGGAGAUCAAAGCUGGGGAUCGCAAGACCUGGCGUUUGAAGAGGGGCCCGCGUCCGAUUAGCUAGUUGGNGAGGU
rnacentral:rRNA from 1 species